rnacentral:rRNA from 1 species
UACGUAGGGUGCGAGCGUUAAUCGGAAUUACUGGGCGUAAAGCGUGCGCAGGCGGUUUUGUAAGCCAGAUGUGAAAGCCCCGGGCUUAACCUGGGAAUGGCAUUUGGGACUGCAAGGCUUGAGUGCGGCAGAGGAGACUGGAAUUCCUGGUGUAGCAGUGAAAUGCGUAGAUAUGCGGAGGAACACCAAUGGCGAAGGCAAUCCCCUGGGCCUGUACUGACGCUCAUGCACGAAAGCGUGGGGAGCAAACAGG